AAAGAAUAGAAGGCUUUUUUUAAUCUUGACGUAUUGUCUGAAAAUUCUAAAGAAUGGUGGUGUCUGAAAAAUUCUAAAGAAUGGAUGAAGUGCCAAAUGAUUGGUGGAUAACAAAUGUCCCUAACACUACUUCCAAUAAAGGCCUCUGCAAGACUUUUUUCACCAUAAACCUUCUGCCCUUUAACAUCAAAACUUGACUGAGGUGGAUUAAUCCUGUACGGGAAGGGCUACGCUGCCUACUGUAUGCCCUCCGAUAAGGCAAUAUGUACAGAGUGAUACUUUAAUGAAAAGAAAAUAACUUUUCAUAUAGUACUGAACCACAAAAUAUGCAUCUGUCUGUCCUUCGUGCUUGAUUAUAAUGGAUGUGUGUGCAUCUGUGUCUGUGUGUUUUAAGAUAAAGCCUUCUGGCAAUACAUCAAAA